GUACAGUGGAGUCCGAAGAUGGGACAGCUGUCUCUGGCAGUAACCACACUGCUUAACUGGGCACUAUUAGGGCAAAGUUUGAAAACUUGGGAGUGACAAUACAGGUGAAUGCACGUGCUGCUGUUCAGUCCAGAGUCUGCUUGUCCAAGUACGGUUUCUUCACUAGCUGGAAGAGAUGAGUGAUGGUUUAGUCGAAAGGCAGCCUAAGUUGUAACAUUCAUCUUUCUUUCUAAACAAAACUGUGCCACACAGGGAUGCAUAUAUAGUGAUGGAACCACUGAAGCAAAAUGCAGAGUACAUUCCUCAAAGCUGGAGCCAACAGAUUUUGGAACAGUUUUAAGAAGCCAGUAUAUUUUUGAUCAACGUUAAGGAGACAGUUAUUGAAUAUUUGGAAGUCUGGACAGGAAUGGGACUUGUACGUCCUCAGGGGAAGAACCACGUGUAGAUCCUUUUUCCACAGAAACCCCAAACCUCUGCAGUUUUGUACAGAUUCUUGUGAUACUAAAGGAAAAGCAUCGACUGUAAUUGGGUCCUGGUCCCUGAGAUUUAUUGUUGGAAGAUUAUACCGUCUAUAACUCUGCCAGACUGCAACGGGCCCAGGACAUUACAGAAUACGUAGUCCGAGCACAGCCACAUGGAAUGUCUAUCUCAUAUCUGUAAUGAAGUAAAAAAUCACUAAUUGCUGCUUUAGCCUAUUUCAUAACUUUCAAUAGAAUAGUAUAUAUUUCUAGCUAACUUUAGAUAAGUCAUAACUGUAAAUUGUGCAUUUUCACACAGAUAUACAUUUGUCUGGUUCGGCAGCAUUUACAGGAAACCUGUAAUUUCUAAUUGCUGAGACUUGCACUUGCUUUUUGUUUGUGCUAAUUAAUGAAGAAUCUGCAUGUGGUUGAGAGGGGUGAAAAGGAAGGUAGUUAGAAAAACAGGACUAUACCUCCAUAUGCACACAUGCAGUAGCAAAGGUGGUAGAGUUCUCUUUAUUUUUCAGUUUACUUUUUAUUGAGCUGAGACUAGUAAUUUGCUGUUUAUACUCCCUGCAUACUCGGGCAUUUUGCAUUAUCGUCAAUAUACUGCUGCAUAACUAACAUGCUAGCCUGCAGAAGCAUUAAUAUAGUGUUAAAUAUAUAUGGGUCCUAAAAUAUAUGUUAGGUAUCCAUUUUAUUUUGAAAAUCUUCAUUACAGUUACUUCUGUAAAAAAAGGAUUUUGCAAUACUUAAAUCAUUUUGCUCACAGUAUAAGUAGUAAGGCUUAAGAAAGAAACAUUUUAUUUAAUAAGAGUAGGGGAUAUGUUGUUUUCAAAGAUGAUGCUCUUAAAAAAAUACAAAAAUAUCGUAAGAACUUCCCUUAGUUUUGAAAAUAUUGCAGUUGUGAUGAGCACUGUAACUUGCAGACUCGCGUAAGUAAAGAUGAUAGAAGCAACAUUAGCUGUGCUGAAGUAGUCUACGCUAGUUAACCUAGGAUUCCUCUACGGGCAAUUGAGAGAUACGGGGUACUCCAGAGGGAAAUUCAUAUCACCCGUCUCAAGUCUUUAAAGACUGGAUGGGAUUGCUCACCUUCUGGAGAUGUCUGCCUCCCCUCAUUAUAGAAGGAGCAUAGAUGAAUAGUACAGCAGAGGUGGCAACUCCUUACUUAAUUAAGACUUCAUGAGAUAUGAACAGUGGAGCUCAGAUUUUUUUUCCCACACAUACAUAAACUUAGAGAGUACUGAGCUAAACAAAAACCUUUGUUUACUGUAGCAAUAAUAUUAAGUUUUGAACACAGCCCUUCAAAUAUAGUGGUAAUGUGCAUAUGUGUCUAUGACAAUUACAUUACGGCAAAAAUAUGCGUGUUCACGAGAAAAAGAGCAUACUUACAGGAUCAAUAACUUGCCUAUUCGUUGCCUAAUAUUCGUAGAUGUAUCACUUCUGUGGCAUUUGGGAAAUGAAUUGACACAUCAGUGAUAAACUGAAUUUGGGAUACAGUUUCUUUGUCCUUGGUAAUAUCUCUGUUGUGUACUGCAUACGAUUGCAUCCAAUAAAGUUGUUUUCUAAAGGUGGAAACAUUUCAGAAAGCAUUGAUGUAAGGGAGCCGGGCAUCUAAUCAGGUGGGGACAUUGGUGAUUGGAUAGCAUACGUAGUUUACCGUGAUUGUUAGUAGUACAAUACUGUAGUAAUAGAGGUCUUCCUCACCGCGUAUUUUCACUCUGUUAGCUUGAUGAAUACCAGGAGGAGAUUGCUACCACAAAGCUGACAGAGAAACUCAUUUAAAUGAGAAGCUACCACAAAGACGCUAAAUAGAGUUUUUUCCAGAGGUGGUUUUCUGUUUGUUUCUUUUCGUUUCAUUUAAAUAUCUUGAGCUGUCACAGAAAAGGAUUUUAAUUUAGUAAGUCAAUAAAACCUUUAUUUUAUA